rnacentral:rRNA from 1 species
UACGUAGGGGGCAAGCGUUGUCCGGAAUCAUUGGGCGUAAAGCGCGCGUAGGCGGCCCGGUAAGUCCGUUGUGAAAGUCAAAGGCUCAACCUUUGAACGCCGAUGGAUACUGCCGGGCUAGAGUCCGGAAGAGGCGAGUGGAAUUCCUGGUGUAGCGGUGAAAUGCGUAGAUAUUGGGAGGAACACCAGUGGCGAAGGCGGCUCACUGGACCGGUUCUGACGCUGAUGCGCGAAAGCGUGGGGAGCAAACGGG